GAUGAACGCUGGCGGCGUGCCUAAUACAUGCAAGUCGAGCGAACGGACGAGAAGCUUGCUUCUCUGAUGUUAGCGGCGGACGGGUGAGUAACACGUGGUUAACCUACCUAUAAGACUGGGAUAACUUCGGGAAACCGGAGCUAAUACCGGAUAAUAUUUUGAACCGCAUGGUUCAAAAGUGAAAGACGGUCUUGCUGUCACUUAUAGAUGGAUCCGCGCUGCAUUAGCUAGUUGGUAAGGUAACGGCUUACCAAGGCAACGAUGCAUAGCCGACCUGAGAGGGUGAUCGGCCACACUGGAACUGAGACACGGUCCAGACUCCUACGGGAGGCAGCAGUAGGGAAUCUUCCGCAAUGGGCGAAAGCCUGACGGAGCAACGCCGCGUGAGUGAUGAAGGUCUUCGGAUCGUAAAACUCUGUUAUUAGGGAAGAACAUAUGUGUAAGUAACUGUGCACAUCUUGACGGUACCUAAUCAGAAAGCCACGGCUAACUACGUGCCAGCAGCCGCGGUAAUACGUAGGUGGCAAGCGUUAUCCGGAAUUAUUGGGCGUAAAGCGCGCGUAGGCGGUUUUUUAAGUCUGAUGUGAAAGCCCACGGCUCAACCGUGGAGGGUCAUUGGAAACUGGAAAACUUGAGUGCAGAAGAGGAAAGUGGAAUUCCAUGUGUAGCGGUGAAAUGCGCAGAGAUAUGGAGGAACACCAGUGGCGAAGGCGACUUUCUGGUCUGUAAUUGACGCUGAUGUGCGAAAGCGUGGGGAUCAAACAGGAUUAGAUACCCUGGUAGUCCACGCCGUAAACGAUGAGUGCUAAGUGUUAGGGGGUUUCCGCCCCUUAGUGCUGCAGCUAACGCAUUAAGCACUCCGCCUGGGGAGUACGACCGCAAGGUUGAAACUCAAAGGAAUUGACGGGGACCCGCACAAGCGGUGGAGCAUGUGGUUUAAUUCGAAGCAACGCGAAGAACCUUACCAAAUCUUGACAUCCUUUGACAACUCUAGAGAUAGAGCCUUCCCCUUCGGGGGACAAAGUGACAGGUGGUGCAUGGUUGUCGUCAGCUCGUGUCGUGAGAUGUUGGGUUAAGUCCCGCAACGAGCGCAACCCUUAAGCUUAGUUGCCAUCAUUAAGUUGGGCACUCUAAGUUGACUGCCGGUGACAAGCCGGAGGAAGGUGGGGAUGACGUCAAAUCAUCAUGCCCCUUAUGAUUUGGGCUACACACGUGCUACAAUGGACAAUACAAAGGGCAGCGAAACCGCGAGGUCAAGCAAAUCCCAUAAAGUUGUUCUCAGUUCGGAUUGUAGUCUGCAACUCGACUACAUGAAGCUGGAAUCGCUAGUAAUCGUAGAUCAGCAUGCUACGGUGAAUACGUUCCCGGGUCU
rnacentral:rRNA from 1 species